UACCCUUGACAUGUCUGGAAUGCCGAAGAGAUUUUGGCAGUGCUCGCAAGAGAACCGGAACACAGGUGCUGCAUGGCUGUCGUCAGCUCGUGUCGUGAGAUGUUGGGUUAAGUCCCGCAACGAGCGCAACCCUUGUCAUUAGUUGCUACGAAAGGGCACUCUAAUGAGACUGCCGGUGACAAACCGGAGGAAGGUGGGGAUGACGUCAAGUCCUCAUGGCCCUUAUGGGUAGGGCUUCACACGUCAUACAAUGGUCGGGACAGAGGGCUGCCAACCCGCAAGGGGGAGCCAAUCCCAGAAACCCGAUCGUAGUCCGGAUCGCAGUCUGCAACUCGACUGCGUGAAGUCGGAAUCGCUAGUAAUCGCGGAUCAGCAUGUCGCGGUGAAUACGUUCCCGGGUCUUGUACACACCGCCCGUCACACCAUGGGAGUGGGUUUUACCAGAAGUAGUUAGCCUAACCGCAAGGGGGCGAUUACCACGGUAGGAUUCAUGACUGGGGUGAAGUCGUAACAAGGUAGGCGUAGCGAG
rnacentral:rRNA from 1 species